UACGUAGGGGGCAAGCGUUGUCCGGAAUUACUGGGCGUAAAGGGCGCGUAGGCGGCCACCGCAAGUCGACUGUGAAAUCUCCGGGCUUAACCCGGAAAGGUCAGCCGAUACUGCGGGGCUAGAGUGCAGAAGGGGCAACUGGAAUUCUCGGUGUAGCGGUGAAAUGCGUAGAGUAUCGAGAGGAACACCUGCGGCGAAGGCGGGUUGCUGGGCUGACACUGACGCUGAGGCGCGAAAGCUAGGGGAGCGAACGGG
rnacentral:rRNA from 1 species